rnacentral:rRNA from 1 species
UACGAGUGCCCCGAGCGUUAUCCGGAAUCAUUGGGCGUAAAGGGUGUGUAGGUGGCAGUGUUAGUCGAUUGUUAAAACCUGGGGCUCAACCCCAGAUCCGCGAUCGAAACGGCACAGCUAGAGGAUGGCAGGGAUCUGUGGAACUCAUGGAGUAGGGGUGAAAUCCGUUGAUAUCAUGGGGAACACCAAAAGCGAAGGCAGCAGAUUGGGCCACUCCUGACACUGAAACACGAAAGCGUGGGUAGCGAAUGGG